UACGGAGGGUGCAAGCGUUAUUCGGAAUUACUGGGCGUAAAGCGUGCGCAGGCGGCUUUGUAAGACAGAUGUGAAAUCCCCGGGCUCAACCUGGGAACUGCAUUUGUGACUGCAAGGCUAGAGUGCGUCAGAGGGGGAUGGAAUUCCGCGUGUAGCAGUGAAAUGCGUAGAUAUGCGGAGGAACACCGAUGGCGAAGGCAAUCCCCUGGGCCUGCACUGACGCUCAUGCACGAAAGCGUGGGUAGCAAACAGG
rnacentral:rRNA from 1 species